CUAUAAUUAAUAUAGUUAAUUAAUAUAGUUAAUUAAUAUAGUUAAUUAAUAUAGUUAAUUAAUAUAGUUAAUUAAUAUAGUUAAUUAAUAUAGUUAAUUAAUAUAGU
rnacentral:tRNA from 1 species